AUCAUGUCUACUAAAAUAUUUUACAAAAAAGAUGUAAUCAUGAAUUUUAAUACCUAACUAGUGGUAAUGGAAUUAUAUGAUUGAACAAGGGAUUGUGGUACUCUUAGCUAAUUGAUGCUUUCUUACGGGCUUGAAACGCGACCACGAUAGUUCAGAGUCAAGCAUUUAUGGUGUUCUGACCUAGUCACUUUAUUGUUACCUUUCUAUGGACUUGA
rnacentral:lncRNA from 1 species